rnacentral:rRNA from 1 species
UGGGGAAUCUUGCACAAUGGGGGAAACCCUGAUGCAGCGACGCCGCGUGAGCGAUGAAGGUUUUCGAAUCGUAAAGCUCUGUCCUAUGGGAAGAUAAUGACGGUACCAUAGGAGGAAGCCCCGGCUAACUACGUGCCCGCAGCCGCGGUAAUACGUAGGGGGCGAGCGUUGUCCGGAAUUACUGGGCGUAAAGGGUUCGCAGGCGGCAUGACCAGUCCGAUGUAAAAGGCGAAAGCUCAACUUUCGUAAGCAUCGGAAACUGUCAAGCUUGAGUGAAGGAGAGGCAAGUGGAAUUCCUAGUGUAGCGGUGGAAUGCGUAGAUAUUAGGAGGAAUACCGGUGGCGAAGGCGACUUGCUGGACUUCAACUGACGCUGAGGAACGAAAGCGUGGGUAGCAAACAGG